GACGAACGCUGGCGGCGUGCUUAACACAUGCAAGUCGAGCGGAAAGGCCCUUCGGGGUCCUCGAGCGGCGAACGGGUGAGUAACACGUGAGUAACCUGCCCCAGACUUUGGGAUAACCCUCGGAAACGGGGGCUAAUACCGGAUACGACACAGCUUCGCAUGGGGUCUGUGUGGAAAGUUUUUCGGUUUGGGAUGGGCUCGCGGUCUAUCAGCUUGUUGGUGGGGUGAUGGCCUACCAAGGCGCCGACGGGUAGCCGGCCUGAGAGGGGGACCGGCCACAAUGGGACUGAGACAGGGACCAGACGCCUACGGGAGGCAGCAGUGGGGAGUAUUGCACAAUGGGCGGAAGUCUGAUGCAGCGACGCCGCGUGAGGGAUGACGGCCUUCGGGUUGUAAACCUCUUUCAGCAGGGACGAAGCGUAAGUGACGGUACCUGCAGAAGAAGCGCCGGCCAACUACGUG
rnacentral:rRNA from 1 species